rnacentral:rRNA from 1 species
AUGAGUAGAUCGACUGGGAGGGACAACGUGUACAAGCCGUCGUAUGGAGGGUUUGUGGACAUAGACAUCGAGCAGCAAGGGAGGAGCAUAUCUCUUAGAACAUUGAUUGACCAUUCGGUAGUGGAGAGCUUUGGAGGCGGGGGGCGGACAUGCAUCACGGCACGGGUGUACCCUGAGCACGCGGAGAACAGAAAUAGCCAUGUGUUCGUGUUCAAUAAUGGGACCGGACUCGUGAAGGUGUCCAAGCUCGAGGCAUGGAGGCUGGUGAUGGCUUCAGUAAACAUCGUGCAUGGCGGGUGA